UUAAUUCUUAAACAACAUUCUAUGACAAUAACGAAUGGAAUGGUAAAAAUGGCAAAAUUGCAGCGUAAAUAAUCACACGCGAUUGUUACAACAAUAAUAAUCGCAUACCGUGAAGAAAAUGUGUAGGCAGUGUGCAGGCUGCACAAUCACAUUUCACUGUGCAAAUGUGCAAUAAUUAAUUAUUAUCAAUUAAUUUAUAAUUUUUAUUGUUUCUAUUCCCACGUAACUUUGAAAGUUGUUUGCAACGGUGUAUAAAUUUCUAAACACGUACAUUAAUCAAUCAGCGAAAUUAUUUACAUUACAUCUUCGCGUCGAGUCGCGUCGUGUAAUUGUCACAGCGGUAUCUACCCCUAGAUUUCAAAGUGACAGCCGCAAUAUUGGCGUGCAAUAAAUUGACGCGUUAAAUGCGCGAGAAUGUCUUCGAUUUCACUUUGGGAUGACGCUCGUAAACGCGUACAACUGCCGUUAAUUCGCGCGCAUAAUUGAUUUUGAUUGGUAUUCGGCGUGUCGGUUAUGCGUGCGUGAUUGAUGUGGUAUCAGAUAUGUUAAUCUACCUGAAAUAAUUUGUGUAUUUCUGAUUUAUUCUUAUUUAUCCUUACUAAUAUUGUUUUGAGCAGUGCGUUGAACUAUGUGUGUUUUGAACUAAGUGUAGCAGUGGCGCUAUCUAGCUUAGAGGGUUGUGAUGAGGGUUGUUAAGUUUGUUACUUAGUAUAAGUUUUUUAUGUAUUGCGUCGCCACUCGUACUUCCUGCGCGGCGCCAUGAUGGGCCGCUGAGAGGGAGUAUGAGGGUGCAAAUAAAAGGGCCAGCCGAGAGCAUCUCGGUCUUGUUUCCAUCGAAUCGUCAUCGUGAGUUAUCUGUGAGUAUUUUUGACCUUCAGUGCUUAGUAAAUUGUGCGUGCCCGUAUUUCUUGUGUUGUAAUCUGUUCCGGACGCCAUCUUGCUUAAGUUAUACUCUGACUUCUUUGAACUUGCACUUGAAAAUCUAUUAAGUUAGAUCUCGCGAACAAGUCCUUCGCGAGUUAAGUAACCAUUGUUAAACAAACCGCGACAACCGCGUAAACAAAUAUUAUAAAUAUUGUAUGUUUGUGUCACUUUCAAGCAAAAACCACUCAACUAAUUUUGAUAAAAUUUUGCUUAGAGAUAUUUUGGACAUAGGAGAAUAACAUAUGCUACUGCAUGUCGCAAAAAUAUAACAUACAGGGUGUGCAAAAUAGUUUGCAAGUUUGUGCAACGAAAAGGAUAAAUGACGCUGACGCAUGCAAAAAAAUGUGAUGAAAAUGCCUAUUGAAGAUGACCGCCGGACCAACUAUAUGUAGCCUGUUCGCGUGUGUCCAAUUCCCGAAAUCUGCACGUAUUUGCACCGGACGGAAGAAAAUAUCAUAGUAUAUAGUAAUAUCUUAGAAUAUGCUUCUGUUUUAAGCUCUAAUUGCGAUAUAUUUGAAUGUAUCAAUGUUUUUUUACAUUUUGCACUAUUUAUUAAAAUGCUAAAAUACAGGUAAUAAAAAAAUUAUGAACGCGGAUAAAACCUAGUACGACCAAUAAUAAAUACAAAUAUUUUUUAAUAUCUUGGAUUAUAAAUCAUGAAAGCAUAAUAUUUACACUGUCAGAGUCACAGUCCCACCAAUUUGCACGUUGUUGACUCAAUCUCUUAUCAAACUGAACCCUAGCCUGAGUUAACAAUAAAUUAUAUGUACGAUAAGCAUAAGUUCAUGUAAACCGUUAAAUAUUUUACUUUAUUGAUGAAUUUUUUUCAGAAAAAAAUCCAAAUUUUUUCUUAUUUUUCGAGUUUUUCUUAUUUAUUUUUAAAUUUUGGAAAAACGUGCGUGUUUUGCCUGUUGCGGGUGAUAACUACGAGUAUGGCAGUUGAAACAUGUUGGCGAUGCUGGCGAAAAUUAAUAGCCGCACGUUUCCCGCCGACUGCGGGUGAUAAAUAUUUAUCGCGAGCCGCGAACGUCUCGCAGACGCUGCGGAUUUAUGAAAUCAUUAUCAACGCAAAACGGUGCCACAAAUAAUGAAACCGGGAGGCUGCGUAAAUGGCAGCGGCAGGAAUAAAUGACGACUCGCAAACUGCUACUUUAAAAAUAUGCCUCUGCUUUCGUACAAACCGCGAGAGAAAAAAUUACAUUUUUGAUUGUAUACACAUUCAGGUUCAAUAAAUGUCAUUUUAAAUUGAUUUCAUUUAGUUUUGCGAUAAAGAAUAAAAUGAAACAUAAAAAAACCUUAUUAAAAAAAAUAUUUUUAUGUAUUUGCUAGUAAUUCUUAUUUUUUUGAUAUUUUACUUAAUAAUGUGUUAUUUGGGUUGCAUAUAAAUCGGAAAAAUCAAAAUUUUUAAAAAACUGGUCUUUUUUGUUAUCAAAAUUACAGAAAAAAUUAAUAAUUGCUUAUAAAUGUGUGAUUUUCUCAUUUUAAAUCGAUUUAACGAAGUUUUGAGAUUAAGACUUAAUGUCAAAUAUGACAUAACCUUACUUAGGAACUAUUUAUUCAUUGUUUUGCCUUUAUUUUUAAUUUUUGCCAAAAUUUUUAUAAAAAAAUGAUAAUUCUUAAACAACAGCUUUGAUUUUUGUUAAAAUAACCGAAAAAACUUAAAUUUUUUCAUUAAAAAGACCAAUUUACCGCACAUAACCUCAAAAAUCCAUUCAAAACAAAUGAUUUUAUCAUUUUAAAUUGAUUUAAUGUAGUUUUGAGAUUAAAGUAAAAUGUCAAACAUGACAUAACCCUAUUUAAGAGCUAUUUAUUCAUUUUUUUAAUCUUUAUUCUUAAUUUUUGUCAAAAUUUUUAUCAAAAAAUCAAAAUUUUUAAACAACACCUUAGAUUUUUAUUAAAAUAACCUCAAAAAAUCAAUUUUCUCAUCAAAAAGUCAAAUUUUCCGCCCAUAACCUCAAAAAUCAUUUCAAAAACCAAAUUAAACCAAUAAUAACAAUUUGCAUGCUUACGAAAUACAUUGAAUUCACCUCUCUAUAUUAUAAUUCUCGCCUCACGUAGGUAUCGCAGCAAUAAAAUGAAACUACGCAGUAAAUAAUCAACAAUCACCCAUGUGCCUCUGCAAUCAGCCUCAUUUAACAUUUCAACCUUUGUCACUGUAAUAAAUUAAGCGCCAAAUACAUUGUUGACUUCUGUAAUGAUUUCUAAAUAUUCCCGACUUAAUGAGUAACGCAUGCCAUCGUAAAUAGAGGAAGAAAUAACUGCACAACAGUUACCAUAACGAUAUAAUUAAUGUAAGUGUGGUACCUGCACACACCGGCACACUUCUUCAACUUCUUCUUCUGUGUGUUUAUACACCUGCCAUGCUUGGAUUCACUUUGUUUGCAAAUUACAUUCUCCAAGCCAUCUUCUAUCCUUUUUAUUAUUAACAUAAACUAUAUUAUUAGAUUAUUAGAUUAAGAUUACGGUGCUCCCCGGAGGAAUAAGAAUAACAUUAAGUUUUUACAUUUUACGGUUUUUACGGUUACAAUACCGUAAAGUGAAUGUAAGGUUUAAAUUUGCAUUUGCAGCGUUAUUACGCGUAUUUUAUUAUCAAUUUUCAUGUCAUGCGUGCGUCACAUCUGCAUCAGUGACAUCAGCUUGGUCAGGUGUUCAUUUCCUCCGCAUCCGACGUUUCUCAUUUUCAAUCAGAUUAUUGCCUCGACAGCGCGUAGCGGAUGUUAGUUAUAGCGAUUUAUUUUUUCGAGGUUUUACGUGAUUUGUUUGCACUCAUUUUCGGUAAUUCUUUGCGCUUUUAUUUAAGGUGCCCCCGGCUGAAUAUUAAUACCGGUCGUUUUGCGUUCCGUGUAAAAUUAUCUAAAUAGCGACACUCUUGCGCUCCGGCUGGGUGGGCCCUGGUUAAGGCCGCGGCUAAAUUGCCUCGAUUUAUCAAACGCAUUCCCCGAGCGCGCCGAGCAACAAUCAACAAGCAUGUGGAAGUCCUGUGGUCUGUUAGACCCUUCAGAAAACAUAAAUAUUUAUAUUUAGAAGAAAAAAAGAGAAUUAUGUUUAGGAAAAUCGAUAUAUGCAACCGAAAUUACAUUAAAAAUAGAAUUAAUGAUUUUUUGUUGUUAAUCCCUACUAAAAUAUUAUAAAUGCAAAAGUCCUGAUGUUUGUUACACUUUCACGCAAAAACUACUUAACCGAUCAUCAUGAAAAUUUGUACACAUAUUCUUAGUGGUCCCUGAAUGGUUAUAGGCUACUUUUUAUUUAAUAAAAAAAUUAUUUUUUAAAUAAAAUAAAGAAAUUGUUUAGCCAAU